rnacentral:rRNA from 1 species
AUGAGCAGCCCCAUGGAGGAAGCUCACCAUGGCAUGCCGUCGACGACGACGGCGUUCUUCCCGCUGGCAGGGCUCCACAAGUUCAUGGCCAUCUUCCUCGUGUUCCUCUCGUGGAUCUUGGUCCACUGGUGGAGCCUGAGGAAGCAGAAGGGGCCGAGGUCAUGGCCGGUCAUCGGCGCGACGCUGGAGCAGCUGAGGAACUACUACCGGAUGCACGACUGGCUCGUGGAGUACCUGUCCAAGCACCGGACGGUCACCGUCGACAUGCCCUUCACCUCCUACACCUACAUCGCCGACCCGGUGAACGUCGAGCAUGUGCUCAAGACCAACUUCAACAAUUACCCCAAGGGGGAGGUGUACAGGUCCUACAUGGACGUGCUGCUCGGCGACGGCAUCUUCAACGCCGACGGCGAGCUCUGGAGGAAGCAGAGGAAGACGGCGAGCUUCGAGUUCGCUUCCAAGAACCUGAGAGACUUUAGCACGAUCGUGUUCAGGGAGUACUCCCUGAAGCUGCGCAGCAUCCUGAGCCAGGCUUGCAAGGCCGGCAAAGUCGUGGACAUGCAGGAGCUGUACAUGAGGAUGACGCUGGACUCGAUCUGCAAGGUGGGGUUCGGGGUCGAGAUCGGCACGCUGUCGCCGGAGCUGCCGGAGAACAGCUUCGCGCAGGCGUUCGACGCCGCCAACAUCAUCGUGACGCUGCGGUUCAUCGACCCGCUGUGGCGCGUGAAGAAGUUCCUGCACGUCGGCUCGGAGGCGCUGCUGGAGCAGAGCAUCAAGCUCGUCGACGAGUUCACCUACAGCGUCAUCCGCCGGCGCAAGGCCGAGAUCGUGCAGGCCCGGGCCAGCGGCAAGCAGGAGAAGAUCAAGCACGACAUACUGUCGCGGUUCAUCGAGCUGGGCGAGGCCGGCGGGGACGACGGCGGCAGCCUGUUCGGGGACGACAAGGGCCUCCGCGACGUGGUGCUCAACUUCGUGAUCGCCGGGCGGGACACCACGGCCACGACGCUCUCCUGGUUCACCUACAUGGCCAUGACGCACCCGGCCGUGGCCGAGAAGCUCCGCCGCGAGCUGGCCGCCUUCGAGGCGGACCGCGCCCGCGAGGAUGGCGUCGCGCUGGUCCCCUGCAGCGACUCAGACGGCGACGGCUCCGACGAGGCCUUCGCCGCCCGCGUGGCGCAGUUCGCGGGGCUGCUGAGCUACGACGGGCUCGGGAAGCUGGUGUACCUCCACGCGUGCGUGACGGAGACGCUGCGCCUGUACCCGGCGGUGCCGCAGGACCCCAAGGGCAUCGCGGAGGACGACGUGCUCCCGGACGGCACCAAGGUGCGCGCCGGCGGGAUGGUGACGUACGUGCCCUACUCCAUGGGGCGGAUGGAGUACAACUGGGGCCCCGACGCCGCCAGCUUCCGGCCGGAGCGGUGGAUCGGCGACGACGGCGCGUUCCGCAACGCGUCGCCGUUCAAGUUCACGGCGUUCCAGGCGGGGCCGCGGAUCUGCCUCGGCAAGGACUCGGCGUACCUGCAGAUGAAGAUGGCGCUGGCCAUCCUGUGCAGGUUCUUCAGGUUCGAGCUCGUGGAGGGCCACCCCGUCAAGUACCGCAUGAUGACCAUCCUCUCCAUGGCGCACGGCCUCAAGGUCCGCGUCUCCAGGGCGCCGCUCGCCUGA